rfam:Salmo salar isolate Sally breed double haploid chromosome ssa29, whole genome shotgun sequence.
UAGCUCAGUUGGUAGAGCAUGAUGUUUGCAACGCCAGGGUUGUGGGUUUGAUUCCCAC